AGAGCGCUCCCGGGUAGGCAUUUGCCCCGGUUGAACACCUCACCAGAGCAGCGCACAGCAGGCCCCCGCGGAGGAUCAACGCAGUGGCUGAACACCGGGAAGGAACUGGCACUUUAAGUCUGGACAUCUGAAACUUGCUAGAGCCCUGUCGAGCAUAACUGUGUAGAGGUGUUGGACUCAAGUUUACUCUAGCAGACCUGACCUCCAGGACCAGCCUUGGGCAUCAGUAAACUGGGAGCUAUACGUGGACGGGAACAGCUUCAUCAACCCACAAGGAGAGAGAUGUGCAGAAUAUGCGGUGGUAACCCUGGACACUGUCGUUAAGCUGAGCUGAUUGCUUUAAUUCAGUCCUUAGAACUCAGUGAAGUUGCAGGUGUUGUGUCUUGGAUCCAUCACAGUCAGCUAACACUGGCAGCUCAGGACAAGUGGACCAGCCAGCAGGAUGCAGAUCACCCAACCUGGCUGAUCCUGAGACGAGACCAAGCUGCUGCUGAGGACGACAGCCCUGCUCUGGUCACUCCGGAGGCUGACCAGUCUACGCACGGCCGAAGCUUGAGGACUCAUCGAGCAAGUAAAUGUAGUUAAAAAUCUUAAGACUAAUAGUUUUCCUGUAAUACUAACUGUUUUCCUAUUGUUCGGUCGCUGUAUUCAACCUUUUUCCCAGGUAAGGACCUCUUUUGUCCUUGCUGGAUACGAAUAUGCUGUACAUUGUUUUGUUGUUGUUAACCCCCAUAACCAUGUUAGAAGAAACACCUAUAUAAGGUGUCCCCACUGUACACAUACUACUUAGGAAACCCAGACCUGUCCAGCCCAGUAACAAUUCUGAGUCUUUCAGUCAUUCUUUAAACAUAUAAACCAGAAGUUACCAGAACCUCCUCCUUUAGCAAAAACAGAAAAAACCUAUUUGCUCAGCUGGCUGAAAACAUUGCUAGCUGCCUAGAUGUUUCUUCAUGUUAUGUUUAUAAAAAGGCUAACAUAAGAGACCAAUGGCCUUGAGAAGCAAAAGAGUUAAUGCCUCAAGAUAACUUUAACUAGCUCUUUCCCCAAACAGAUGCCACAAGUUCAAGCAUCUGGCUCUUAAAACUUCUAUUAUUAAAAAAUACCAUGUUACUCACUAGGAAAAAGCUUUUAAGACACAGUAAAAAGAACUAACCUGCUUAAGGCAUGACAAAGUUGGUACAUGUGCAUAUACAGGUUUAACACAGGUCUGAUCCUAGGUGUUCAUUUAGAACAUAGUUUCCAGCUGUAAGAAAAUUUAAAACCCUCAUUGUAAGUGUAUUACUAGUAAUAGGAACUUGCUUGCUGCUCCCCUGUAUAUUAUAUUUGCUCCUUCAAAUGAUAAAAGGUUUUGUAGCUACCAUGGUUCAGCAGAAAACUUCAACACAAGUAUAUUACAUAAAAUACUAUCACUCUGUCUCACAAAAAGACUCAAAAAGUAAAAAUAAAAGAACUCCCACUGAUUAGUGAAAAUUCUCAAAGGGGGAGAUAAGGAAGGAGACCACUACUACUCCUGCUGCCCUCCUCUCCCCACCUUGCCUAGUUCGCAAGACAGGAGGAGAGAAAAACAAAAAGUUGGAAAAAAAACAAAAGUAAGAUAAACAGCCAGACAACCUUGGCACCACCACCCGGCCUUAGGAGUUAAAAAAAGUAAUAAUGAUAACCUCAACCCCUGACCUAAACUACUUGUGUUGUCUGUAAAUUUCAGACACUGUAUGAAAAAAAGCAUUGUAAAACUUUUUGUUCUGUUAGCUGAUGCAUAUAGCCCCCAGUCAUGUUUCCCAUGCUUGCUUGAUGUACCACGACCCUUACACGUGGACCCCUUAAAGUUGUAAACCUUUAAAAAGGCCAAGAAUUUCUUUUUCGGGGAGCUCGGCUCUUAAGACACG
ensembl:lncRNA novel transcript